rnacentral:rRNA from 1 species
AUGACUAUGAUGACCCCUUCCCCUCUCGAGCAGCAGGAGGACGAUGAGAUGCUGGUGCCACACCAGGAGCUCUCCGCCGCAGAUGCCGCGCAGCCAAUGGAAGUGGUGGCGCAGACGGAGCCUACGAACACGGCGGAGAGCCAAGCACCCGAGGACCCGCAGACUUCCCGGUUCACCUGGACGAUAGAGAACUUCACCAGGGUCAGCGGGAAGAAGCACUACUCGGAUGUGUUUGUCGUUGGUGGAUUUAAAUGGCGUGUGCUAAUUUUCCCCAAGGGAAAUAACGUGGACCAUCUCUCGAUGUACUUGGAUGUUGCAGACUCGGGGAACCUCCCUUACGGAUGGAGCCGGUAUGCUCAGUUCAGCCUAGCCGUUGUAAACCAGAUCCAUCAGAAGUAUACAGCACGCAAAGGCUAUAUGUUGGUCCCAUGUUUGGCAGAUACUCAACAUCAGUUUAAUGCACGUGAAAGUGACUGGGGUUUCACAUCUUUUAUGCCUCUGAGUGAGCUCUAUGAUCCAAGUAGGGGCUAUCUCGUGAAUGAUACUGUUGUUGUUGAAGCUGAGGUUGCUGUUCGCAAAAUGGUUGACUAUUGGACUUAUGACUCGAAAAAGGAAACAGGUUAUGUUGGUCUCAAGAAUCAGGGUGCUACCUGUUAUAUGAACUCUCUUCUGCAAACCCUGUAUCAUAUACCUUACUUUCGGAAGGCUGUAUAUCACAUGCCAACUACUGAGAAUGACAUGCCAUCUGGGAGUAUUCCUUUAGCCCUGCAGAGCCUUUUUUACAAGCUCCAGUAUAGCGACAAUAGUGUAGCUACAAAAGAGUUGACUAAAUCUUUCGGGUGGGACACCUAUGAUUCUUUCAUGCAGCAUGAUGUGCAAGAGCUCAAUAGAGUUCUAUGCGAGAAACUUGAAGACAAAAUGAAGGGAACUGUUGUGGAAGGAACAAUUGAACAACUAUUUGAAGGCCACCACAUUAAUUACAUCGAGUGCAUUAAUGUUGACUAUAAAUCUAACAGAAAAGAGUCCUUUUAUGAUCUACAACUUGAUGUCAAAGGUUGUCGUGAUGUUUAUGCAUCAUUUGAUAAAUAUGUCGAAGUGGAGCGUCUAGAGGGUGAUAACAAAUACCAGGCUGAACAACAUGGCUUACAGGAUGCAAGAAAGGGCGUACUCUUUCUUGAUUUCCCUCCUGUUUUGCAACUUCAACUGAAGCGUUUCGAAUAUGAUUACAUGCGAGACACAAUGGUUAAGAUUAAUGACCGUUAUGAGUUCCCACUACAACUCGAUCUUGAUAAGGAUGAUGGAAAAUAUCUUACUCCAGAUGCAGAUAGAAGUAUUAGGAACCUUUACACUCUUCACAGUGUUCUUGUUCAUAGUGGAGGAGUACAUGGUGGUCACUACUACGCUUUCAUACGACCUACACUCUCAGACCAGUGGUAUAAAUUUGAUGAUGAGCGAGUAACAAAAGAAGAUACUAAAAAAGCGCUUGAAGAGCAGUACGGGGGCGAGGAAGAGUUGCCUCAAGUUAACCCUGGUUUCAAUAACACCCCAUUUAAGUUCACAAAGUAUUCAAAUGCCUACAUGCUUGUAUAUAUUCGUGAGAGUGACAAGGAGAAAAUAAUGUGUAAUGUUGAUGAGAAGGACAUUGCUGAGCAUUUGAGGAUAAGGUUGAAGAAAGAACAAGAAGAGAAAGAACACAAGAAAAAGGAAAAAGCUGAAGCUCACCUCUACACCAUCAUAAAGGUUGCUCGAGAUGAAGAUUUGAAGGAGCAGAUUGGGAAGAAUAUAUAUUUUGAUCUGGUGGACCAUGAAAAAGUCCGUAAUUUUCGUAUACAGAAACAAUUACCCUUUAAUUCAUUCAAGGAGGAAGUUGCGAAGGAAUACGGCAUUCCGGUACAGUCUCAGCGCUUCUGGUUGUGGGCUAAGAGGCAAAAUCAUACAUACCGGCCCAAUCGUCCGCUGGCCCCUCAUGAAGAAGCACAAUCAGUGGGGCAACUUAGGGAGGUAUCAAACAAGGCACACAAUGCUGAGCUGAAGCUAUUUCUUGAAGUAGAGCUAGGAUUGGAUUUGCGCCCAAUUCGUCCUCCCGAGAAGAGCAAGGAAGAUAUUUUACUUUUCUUCAAGCUUUAUAAUCCUGAAAAGGAAGAGCUUCGUUUUGUUGGUAGGCUUUUUGUUAAGGCUUUGGGAAAGCCAUCUGAUAUCCUGACAAAACUUAAUGAAAUGGCUGGAUUUUCCCCAAAUGAAGAAAUCGAACUUUAUGAGGAAAUUAAGUUUGAGCCUAAUGUGAUGUGUGAACAUAUUGACAAGAAACUUAGUUUCCGAUCUAGUCAGCUUGAAGAUGGGGACAUAAUCAGUUUCCAAAAGCCAUCUAUACCAGGUGGCGAUACUCAAGUGCGCUAUAAAGAUGUUCCUUCUUUCUUGGAGUAUGUUCAUAAUAGGCAGGUUGUGCACUUCCGGUGUCUGGAGAAACCAAAGGAGGAGGAAUUUUGUUUGGAAUUGUCGAAGCUUCAUACUUAUGAUGAUGUUGUUGAGAGAGUUGCACGCCAACUUGGAUUGGAUGAUCCAUCAAAAGUUCGGCUUACGUCUCACAAUUGCUAUUCUCAGCAACCUAAACCACAGCCCAUCAGAUAUCGUGGAGUAGAGCAUCUAUUGGAUAUGCUUGUCCAUUAUAAUCAGACUUCUGACAUACUGUAUUAUGAAGUCUUGGACAUUCCACUGCCAGAAUUGCAGUGUUUAAAAACACUUAAAGUUGCAUUUCACCAUGCAACGAAAGAUGAGGUUGUAAUUCACAGCAUCAGGCUUUCGAAAAAUAGCACCAUCAGUGAUGUGAUCACUGACUUGAAGACCAAGGUUGAACUAUCCAAUCCUGAUGCUGAGCUCCGCUUGCUUGAAGUUUUCUACCACAAGAUUUAUAAGAUAUUUCCACCUCAUGAGAAGAUAGAGAACAUAAAUGAUCAGUACUGGACACUACGUGCUGAGGAGAUUCCAGAGGAGGAGAAGAAUCUCACUGCACAGGAUCGGUUGAUUCACGUCUAUCAUUUCAUGAAAGAUCCUAAUCAGAACCAGCAGAUUCAGAAUUUUGGAGAUCCCUUUUUGCUGGUCAUCCGUGAAGGUGAGACUGCUGCAGAGGUAAUGGACCGUGUGCAGAAAAAACUCCGAGUUCCCAAUGAAGAAUUCGCCAAGUGGAAGGUUGCAUUCAUAUCCAUGAAUCGUCCAGAAUACCUCCAGGAUAUUGAUGCUGUGUCUGCACGCUUUCAGAGGAGAGAUGUCUAUGGAGCUUGGGAACAAUACCUUGGCUUGGAGCAUACUGACACAACACCCAAAAGGUCUUACACAGCUAAUCAGAAUCGACACACAUAUGAGAAGCCUGUGAAGAUUUACAAUUGA